rnacentral:rRNA from 1 species
UAGAGUUUGAUCCUGGCUCAGAGCGAACGCUGGCGGCAGGCCUAACACAUGCAAGUCGAACGGACCCUUCGGGGUUAGUGGCGGACGGGUGAGUAACACGUGGGAACGUGCCUUUAGGUUCGGAACAACUCAGGGAAACUUGAGCUAAUACCGAAUGUGCCCUUCGGGGGAAAGAUUUAUCGCCUUUAGAGCGGCCCGCGUCUGAUUAGGUAGUUGGUGGGGUAAAGGCCUACCAAGCCUACGAUCAGUAGCUGGUCUGAGAGGAUGAUCAGCCACAUUGGGACUGAGACACGGCCCAAACUCCUACGGGAGGCAGCAGUGGGGAAUCUUGCGCAAUGGGCGAAAGCCUGACGCAGCCAUGCCGCGUGAAUGAUGAAGGUCUUAGGAUUGUAAAAUUCUUUCACCGGGGACGAUAAUGACGGUACCCGGAGAAGAAGCCCCGGCUAACUUCGUGCCAGCAGCCGCGGUAAUACGAAGGGGGCUAGCGUUGCUCGGAAUUACUGGGCGUAAAGGGAGCGUAGGCGGACAGUUUAGUCAGAGGUGAAAGCCCAGGGCUCAACCCUGGAAUUGCCUUUGAUACUGGCUGUCUUGAGUAUGGGAGAGGUAAGCGGAACUCCGAGUGUAGAGGUGAAAUUCGUAGAUAUUCGGAAGAACACCAGUGGCGAAGGCGGCUUACUGGCCCAUUACUGACGCUGAGGCUCGAAAGCGUGGGGAGCAAACAGGAUUAGAUACCCUGGUAGUCCACGCCGUAACGAUGAGAGCUAGUUGUCGGCAUGCAUGCAUGUCGGUGACGCAGCUAACGCAUUAAGCUCUCCGCCUGGGGAGUACGGUCGCAAG